UUUUGUUUUCUUGCCGCACAAGCUUUUGCCACCGCUGUUGCGCUACUUGACGCGGCUCCUUGGUUGUCAAUAUCAAUUCAACCCGCGAAAACUGCCACCGCCUUGAUUCGUUUCCGUUUGAUGGACAUAAAACUUAAAUAAUUUUUCUCUGUUCCGCAAAUAAGGUACCAAUUCGACCUCUUGUCUUGUCUGAUUCGUUUAUGGAUGUCGCCUACUCGUGGAAGGCAAAUUGUUUUGCUUUGCUUACUUAUAAGGUAAUCUGGGAUUUCAGUGAGCGUUAGGAAGUUGAUGACCAAGAUUUUUUAUUUCAGUAAUGUAAUAAAUGUCAUUAGGAUCUUUUUAUUUAAUGUUAUGGAUUAGUUUUAGUUUUGAUAUCUAUAAGAGUGACACGUCAGCCUUAGCGGGUUUGGGGUGUUACACAAUCGAUCAGCUGGUCGAUCGGCUGGUCACCUGGUCGAUCAGUCACUUGGUUUGAGUGUUCGGCGUGACGAGUUUUGCUGUUUUGAUUGCGAUUGUGAGCGUUGCGAUGCGAUAGAGUUUCCUAUUCAAAUUACUUUUAAUUCCAACUACUAUAUCUAACAUACA
rnacentral:lncRNA from 1 species